rnacentral:misc_RNA from 1 species
AUGCUUUGUAUUUGAAAGGUUAUAUUGCAAAUAUAUUUGUUCAAUACACAUGAGAAGAAACCGCAAUACAUUCAAUGGAACGUUGUCUUUACGCGCAACUGCCUUCAAAUUGCACCGAAGUCACACUGCGACUCAAGGUAUGUGGAAAUGGUGGACUCUGUAAAGUUCCGCCUUCAGGAUCAAUAAAUUUGGCAAAGUUAGAAUGCAAUAAUUGCAAUAGACUUUUCGUCUAAGGAGACACACCUGUACUGCAAACAUUUAUUAUUAAAAGUAUUUGAAAAAAAGUUUACUAACAAUAUUGUGAAUGGUCUUGACUAAUGUCAAAUGUUUGACAGAAAUUGUUUUGUGGCUUGGAUAGAAAAAUUAACAAUAAAGAUAAUAAUUGAAAUAAGGAGUAAGUGACACUGUGUGAAACCCUGCUUAAUCAUGUCAGACGUAUGGGAUGGGCGUGAUCCUUUAAGAGUGUUCGAGGUUGAACAAAGGCCAUGUUUGAUUUUCUACGUCACGAUUGUAAAGGGCCACAACAUUACAAAAGGAUACUGGAAAGACACACUUGAUACUCCGGAUCCUUUUGUAAAAGUGACUAUCAAGACGGCACCUAAUGGUACACGGCUAACCAAACCUGUUAACAAUGACGCCAAUCCAGAUUGGAAUGAGACGUUCAAAUUUUUCCUCGACCCAUCUGACGAUAACGAAAUGGAAAUAACGCUGGUAGAUGCUAACUACUUAUUACACGAAACUAUCUCAACAAAGAAGAUAAAGAUAUCCAAUAUGGCAAUGGAAAAGUUUCAACAAAAAAUACAGUUCAGUGAGAAGUCCGCAGUUGACAUAGAAAUGUGGGCAGAGAUUGACAACACGACAGAGCUGAGAUACAGUCUUGCUCUUUGUAAAGGAGAACUACAUUUUAUCGAGAAAAGACGAAACUGUGUGUUUCAGGCAAUGAAAGAAAUUCUCGGAGAUGAUGCUCCUCGCACUAUCAAUGAGGUAAAUGGUAUAAAAAGUACUCUUUUCAUGAGGAUUAUGUCUCAGUGGAAAAAUAUCCUGUUGGAUUCAAACCAUGGACCCACAUAUCAUGUUCCAACAAUAGGGGUGUUAGGUUCUGGUGGAGGAUUCCGUGCUUUGACGGCAUUUAGUGGAGUGAUGGGUGCCCUUGUGGACUCUAGAAUCUCAGACAUGGUCAUGUAUAAUGCAGGACUUUCGGGCUCGGCUUGGUACUUAUCAUCUUUAUAUUCCCACCCUGAUUGGCCUCAGAAAUCUCCACGUGAACUUCGUAAUGAGUUACGGGACAGUAUCGAAUCAAGCCCAUCCAACACUACUGCUAGCCUCAGGCGGUUCUGGGACAGAGUAAAGGCAAAGUGUGAUCAGGGACAGCCAGUCAGUCUCACAGAUUUAUUCGGUCAUCUUGUCGGUGAAACUCUCCUACAAGGGAGGCUGGAGGCGAAGCUAACAGACCAGCAAGAAAAGCUAAAAGAAGGGAACAUUCCGUUGCCAAUGUACGCAGGCGUGCACGUGAAGAAGGAAGUCUCAGCCAAAGUUUUUCACGAAUGGAUAGAGUUUACUCCAUAUGAAAUUGGAAUAAUGAAAUACGGAACAUAUAUGCCAGCUGAGAUGUUUGGAAGCAAGUUUUUCCUAGGUCAUGUUGUCAAAAAAUAUGAGGAGUCGCCGCUGCAUUUCUUGCAAGGUAUUUGGGGAAGUGCGUACUGUGUAAGGCUGAAAAGAUAUUUUGGUUUUGGUAAAAAGGACGACGAAAAAGAGAAUUCACAGGAGGAAAGAGACGAAUUAGAUAGUGAGUUAAACGAAGAAUUGCCAGUACAGGAUAGUGGCUCUUCUGAUACCAGUGAAAGUGAAGACGAUGAAAGUACUGCAGAUGCUAAUGAUGAACACGAGAAAAAGAAAAAGCAAACUGACGAAAACAGGCUUGUUUCAAUAUUUAGACCACUUGUUGGAUCUGUGUUAGAAUGCAUACCGUUCUGGAGAAGUAUUGACGGAAGGGCGGCAGUUGUUUUUAAUUUCUUGCGUGGUUUAUCAUUUCAAAGAUACAACAAACAUGAAGCCAAAGGAUUUGCAGUUACUUGCGGGGAACAGAGUAUGUACUGGUUCAGAAUCCAGGAACACUGGUUAGGUUAACUACCCGUACAUAACUGAAAUACUGUUGUAAAACGCCGUUAAACUCAAAACAAACAAACAAAUCUACGUUCCAGUCUCUACGGCAACUCAAAGCCAUUUCGAUGAAAUAUUUGAGAUGUAUCCUACGUCAAAGAAGAAGUUGUAUGUUGUGGAUGCUGGCCUGGCCUUCAAUU